CCUACGGGUGGCUGCAGUGGGGAAUAUUGGACAAUGGGCGAAAGCCUGAUCCAGCCAUGCCGCGUGUGUGAAGAAGGCCUUCGGGUUGUAAAGCACUUUCAGUGGGGAAGAAAGCCUUGGGGCUAAUACCCUCGAGGAAGGACAUCACCCACAGAAGAAGCACCGGCUAACUCCGUGCCAGCAGCCGCGGUAAUACGGAGGGUGCGAGCGUUAAUCGGAAUUACUGGGCGUAAAGCGCGCGUAGGCGGUCUGAUAAGCCGGUUGUGAAAGCCCCGGGCUCAACCUGGGAACGGCAUCCGGAACUGUCAGGCUAGAGUGCAGGAGAGGAAGGUAGAAUUCCCGGUGUAGCGGUGAAAUGCGUAGAGAUCGGGAGGAAUACCAGUGGCGAAGGCGGCCUUCUGGACUGACACUGACGCUGAGGUGCAAAAGCGUGGGUAGCAAACAGGAUUAGAUACCCUAGUAGUC
rnacentral:rRNA from 1 species